CUUCAUGUAUAGCCACUGCCCUUUUACAAAAUUUAACGUCAAAGCAUUGUUGCAGCUUUGUUUUCAGCUUCUGGAAUGCGUCUUACAAUGCUAUCCCAAUGAGGUUGCUUCCUUGGAAUUAUAUUGAAGAUGGCUCGCUUGACAAAAGAUGGUAGCUCUCGAGGACAAAAGUCUCCUGCAGAGUGAGUUAGCAAGCCUCCCGCAAAGACAUUGAUUAUACCUUCUAAAGAACUUGUGCAAGUUAUAGCAAAGGAUGUUUCUGUUACAAGUGAGGGGUUUUUAGAUGAGGCUCAGUGUGAAAAACAGCAAGAAC